rnacentral:rRNA from 1 species
AUUGAACGCUGGCGGCAGGCCUAACACAUGCAAGUCGAGCGGAUGAAGGGAGCUUGCUCCUGUAUUCAGCGGCUUACGGGUGAGUAAUUCCUAGGAAUCUGCCUUGUCGUGUGGGAUAACGUCCGUAAACGGGCGCUUAUCCCGCAUACGUUCUGAGUGAGUAAGUGGUGUAUCUUCUGACCUCACGCUAUCUGCUGCGCCGAGGUCGGAUUCUCCAGUUGGUGGGGUAAAGGCCUACCAAGGCGACCACCCGUAACUGGUCUGAGAGGCUGAUCAGUCACACUGGAACUGAGAAACGGUCAAGACUCCAACGGGAGGAAGCAGAGGGGAAGAUUGGAAAAGGGGGGAAAGCCGGAUCAAGAAAGGCGGGGGGGGUGAAGAAGGUCUUCGGAUGGAAAAGCACGUUAAGAGGGGAGGAAGGGCAGUAAGGUAAAAACUUGAUGUUGUGACGGUACCAAAAGAAUAAGCGACGGCUAACUACGUG